AUAUAAAGUGAUAUGGUCUAGUUCAACAACUGCCUGUAUUUUUGGAAUACUGAAGAACAGUCUGUUGUAACAGGUUAAACCCCAUGGUGACCGUGAAAUUUACAUUGAUCAGAAGAUCCUUUGGAAAGAAUGUGCAUCAUCGCA